AGUUCCCUUCUGGAGAGCAGUUGGUCUCUCAGUUUGGAGACGCUGAAGAGGGAGGUGGUGAAUAGGAUUUCCUCCUGAGGGUUGCCCACUUUUUCCUGCUUAUGAUUGGAAGUCCUUCCCCCCAACAUUUCCCAAUUGAAAAAAGACUAUUGAAGAAAGUAUUUUGAAUCUCUGUCAGACUUUAUCUCUGCUCCUGGUGCCUGGGUCAGAACUGUGGCCAAGAGGCCAAACCCAGGGUCAGUCAAUUUGACUAUCUCUCAGGGGGCUCAGGUUGCCAAAGCCCAAGUUCCCCCCAAACUUGAGGAGGAGGAAAGGGUUUAGAUAGAGACAGGGACCCCAUUUCCCCCCACUAUCCUUUCCCUUUCCUUCCCUGUCAUCCAUUCCUUUGUAUUACCCUGAUUGAGUUAAUUGACAUUAAAGUAGUUUUCUUUUCCCCAAGCUUGGAAUCAAGUGUGAGUGAACAGCUUUAGGGAGGAGAGACAUCUUCUUAAGAAGAAAUAUUUAAGUCUCUAGAAGUGGAGGAGGGCCAAGAGGGCCAAGAGCAGAUCUGGGAGAGCAGCCAUAGCUAUGGAGGGAAGGGGGAAGGGCCUGGGCCCUAUGUUGUUCAUCCCUAUAGCUUUUUUCAAGAGGUAGAGGGCCAUGUCCUGGAGAAGAUGGAGUAGACAGGCCUGGCACUUGUCUCCCAGUGACAUAAACAUGGCUGAUUCAAUGGAUCAAAGCCAAUCUCAGGGAGGCCACUUUGAGGGUCCAAGUGAGCUCUCCUCCCUUUUUGUGUGUUUCUUGCCAGGUUAACAAGCCUUCCAGCUAUGUCUGCAUUCAUUAGUACACAACUAUGACAAAGAAGAAAAUGCUGAGGCUGCCACUGACCCAACUCGACCAGGUCACAAGUUUGGCAGGGGAAGGUGAUACAAAGGAUUACAGUCUCUGGAUGCAAAAUGGUCCUCAGAGAUUACAGUGAUGAGCAAACGCAAAACAAAGAUGAAACAGAAGAGGGAUUUGUGUCCUGCCCUUGGUUGAAGACUAGAAGCAAGCCAUGGCAAUCCCACCUCUUCCAGCAAAGGUUAAAGGACACCUGCACACACUUCAAUUUCUGGGUGGUUCAGUGGAAGGAGCCCUGGCCUUAGGGUUCAGACCUUGUGCCUUUACUCCACACUUCAUCCGUCUCCAGGUCAGUUUUGACACUUGAAUGAUGUUGGAUCCAGUGGCCCCCAAGGAUAUUUCUGACACUAAAGUUCUGAUCAUUCCAUUCCAUGACUGUACUGGCCCAGGAGAUCCAUCAGCAAUUCCAGUGGGAUGAAGCCCCCGUGCAAUCCAGAACCUAAAGAGAUCGAGCAUCCACCACAGCAGCAGCGAUUGACCUUCUGCUCUCCGGAGCCCAGGUCUGGCUGGAUGUGUCCAGUUUGGGAUUAAGAGGCACCUGGAAAGUCAGAAGUCCAUCCAGGCCAAGGACCCUGGAUGUUGGGAUGAAGAAAGCGCCAUUUGCAGGAACAACCAAAGGGAUUAGGAUCAGUCUGGGAAGAGAAGACUGGUGGGUGAGUCAAUGACUGAGCUGGAGGGGGAGGGAUAGCUGGCCACAGACUGGAGUGAAUUCACUUUAAAUGCUUUAAGGAACAAUCUCUAAGUGCCCAAGAGAAUUUACCCUUUAGAAUUCCAGGUGGCAGAGCAUGAACCAAGGGGUGCAGCUCCGGAAAAGAUGGAUUCUGUCUCAGUAGAAAGGAAAAUGAAAAUCGACAUCAUUUUCAUAAAGCUGAGCAAGAAUGGGGUGUGUUCCCUCCUGAGAAAGUGGUUACGUGUUCUCUAAGUGUUCAAGAGGAAGCAGGAAGAGAUGAUGAAGCCCACCCAGUCCCUCCCCCCAUCUUACAGAGGAAGAUGCUGUGGCCUGGAGACUUGGCCAGGAAUGUGCAGACAGCACUUGCUCCUCUUGCCCAGUGAGCUAGCACCCAGUAGUACACUGUCCCAAUUCUCAGGGAUUUCCCACCUCCAACUUGAGACUUCUCUUGCUUAGCUACUCAGAGAGCACAGGCUGGGCAUCUCCACCCCACCCCCACACAAGGCUGCCUCAACCACCUGACGUGCCGAAAGUCCCUGGGACAUUGGUGUCUGGCCUUUAUGAGGAGAGGGCACUCAUUCAGGGAGCAGCCACUUGGGAUCCUCCCUAAGCAGCUCUUCCAUGGAAUCUAAUGGGAGGACAGCAGAGGGUCAGGGAAGGGGCCGCUGGGCUCUAAGGCCUCCAGCAGUCUCUUUGGCUUCCAGUUCUGUCUCUGCUCCUCAAAGCUGUGUGACCAAGGGCAGAUCACUUCCCCUUUGUGAAUCUCAAUUUCCUCAUUUGUAAAAUGGAGAGCGUUCUAUCUGGAAUACUUCCUCACGGGUUGUUGAGAGAAUCUGAGGGUGAGGAGAACGUAGAGUGUUUAGCAGGCAUGAGCAAUUAUCAUUGAGCACACUUAUUUAUUUAUUUAUUUAAACCCUCACCUUCCGUCUUGGAGUCAGUACUGUGUAUUGGCUCCAAGGCAGAAGAGGUAAGGACUAGGCAAUGGGGGUCAAGUGACUUGGCCAGGGUCACCUAGCAAAUGUCUGAGGCCAGAUUUGAACCCAGGACCUCCUGUCCCUAGGCCUGGCUCUCCAUCCACUGAGCCACCUAGCUGUUCCCCCCUCCCCCCAUUGAGCAUAUUUAAGCAGGGAAGACUUCUUGGAGAGGGUGAGCUUGGAGUCAGGUCUUAGAGGAUGUAAUGAAUACAGUACCAUAACAUCAUUGGACUAGCAAUCAGAAGGCAUGGCUUCAAAUGCCGGCUGCCAUGUGUACUCCCAGGAGCACCCUGGAUAAUCGCAUGAUGUCUCUAGACCUCAGCUCCAUGAUGUUUCCAGUGAGGAGGAGAGACCAGAUCAGAGCAUCUCUAAGGUCCCUUCCCGUGGGCAAUCCAUGACUCCGAGAACCUGGGUUGGUGGUAAAGAUGGACCGAGGAGGGUGGCCCCAAGAGCUCCUUUGGCCUUUGAUUGGGUGGCAGGCCCUUCUCCAGACAGCUCUUGGAAUCUGGAGUUUUCAAAAGCAAAUUCGACAUGGAGUCACAGAUGAAGAGAAUCAUAGCACAGGUUUCUCGCUAUCCCAUCCGGUAUCACACAGGGUGGGGGGAGCAGAAAUGAUUUUGCCCUGUGCUUUCGAUGCAAUUAUCGAAAAUUAUCCAGAUUAAACUUGAGCCUCUCUCCUGUAGCUCAUUAGGCACAGGGUUCCACUGUCUGCCCUUUCCAUCAGAAGAUGUGCUCUCAUUUUCAAAUUGAAUUUCUCCUCCAUUAACUGACUGCUUCGGUCUAUUUUUAAUGGGCUUCCUUUCAGGACGAGCCUGCUUGUUUGGUUGGGGAAUUAUCUCAUUUCCUCCUACAAAGCCCGGCCCCAUUUCUCGUCCUCUGUAAUUGUGUCCAUUUCCAGGGAAAGGUGUCCUAGCCAAACAGCAGGCCAAAUCCCCUCAACCCUGGCCCAGUCUCAUGAUCCUGCUCUCUCCCUACCUACAACCAGCGCACCGAUCUCUCUUCUUCAAUGCGGAGGAUUUGCCUCGAGGAGGGAAGCCAAGUUCAGCCAACCCAGUCCUGCUUUCAAAUGCCCAGAAGCCUUGGCAUCGUUCAAUCAAAACAAAGCAACAACCAAAAGGCCUUAGUCAUCCGAAUGGAACCCUAAAGGGAACUGCCCCGUUGUGGUGUGUUUGCCUAGGGCACUAUGCUGAGAACUGGGAUAUCAAGACAAUCCCUACCUGAAAGGACUUUACAUUCUCAUGGAGGAAGACAACCUUAUAGAGAAAACUGGAAUGGAGGAACACAUAGCCCCCAUCUCCCACAAUUCCUCGACCUUCAUACCAUAACAAGGUUUGGAAAUGGUGGCUCCAAAGUGAUGGAGAUGACCAGUUCUGGACAAGAUAGACAUUUCUCAGACCCCAGGGUGAUUGCAGGGAUGGAGUCUAAAGUUCUGGUGGGAUGCGGAUGAGAAAGCUGAGGACAUGGCUUGAAAAUGGAAGCCUGUAAGAUUUCUAUCACUUGGUUGGCACCUGAAAUAGUGAAGAGGUGCCACCUGUGGCCAAAGAGGGCCCUUCUCUUAGGCACAGGAGAUUCAAAGACCAAUUAAAAAGUCUGCCCUACCCUUGAGAAGCCUGCAUUCUCUUGGGGUAAACAAGAUGCAUGUGAAGAAUGACUGAUGGGACCUGCAAUCUCACUAUUAUGUGGAAUUCUCAAGGGGAAAAUGUCUUACUUUUAAUGCCAAUCAGCAGCUUCUCUGCAUCCUGGAGACAAAAUAAAAUUCAGAAUCCACUGGGAAGCUAAAGGACUUGUCUAGGGUCAUAUAGCCCUUGUGUGACAAAGGUCCAAGUCCAUCUGAAGUCUUCCAGCUUCAAAGGCCAGUUUUUGUCCUCUCUAUUAUCCUGUCACUCACCCAUUUACAUGCUUAAGUACAUUCACAAUACAUACAAAGUAAAUCAAAGGAAUUGGGGAUAUGGAGCAGCUCCUACCAUUCCCUUCUACACACUCUGUCCCAGUCACAUGAGUGUCCAUGUCAAAAUAUAAAUAGAAAAGUCUUUCUCCCAUGCCUUUUGGAAUGAACUUGUUCAUGUGUAGACCUUCAGCAUAGACAUUAUCUCCAAAUAAGUCCUGGGGGUCCACACGUGUAGUCUGAAAGCACAAAGGUCAAAGAAGGUAGGCUUUCCACCCAAUGACACUGCCAGAGGCAGACACAGUGCCCCUCACUUAACAAGCUCCUUUAGCUUUGACAAUCGUGUCCAUUAUCGACUCUCUGAGAGCCAUUUAGACCAUCUCUACCAACACAGAAUGGCCAGUGCACAAAUUCUCAAGGUCUGCUUUCACCUGCCUUCAUCCCAAGCAAACGUUCCCAUUUGAAUGAAAAGAACCGACAGUCUCAUAGCCCAGGGCUUCUGUCAGCCCCAUUUGCCGGUAAGACCCCUUCUCAAAGUCUAUCCUUUCUCCUCUUUUGCACAUUUCCCUACAAUCUUGCUACAAUCCUUCUGGAUCUGGCUCAGUUUCUCCCUCCUCUGUGAAGAAUUUGUUGAGAGCCCAAGCAAACAGUGAAAACUCCCCAGCCUGAACUGUAUCGAGGGGUGUUGACCAGAUGUCUUUCUUUAGCCUACAGCCAGCUGAUGUGCUCCACUUUAGGGGUCCUGUUCUUCAAGGUAAUGACCAGCCCCUCUGCUUCCUCCACCUCCCCCACAGUGACCAGAGAGUGGAAAUGGGAUUCAAGGCAAGUUGAUUAUUUUGAGUCUUCCAGCUACUGACCUGGCAAGUGAGGAAGUGGGUUCACAUUCCAGACUAAUCAUACUUGGCUCCACAAGAGCCUGGGGCUUGGAAUACAGGAGUCCAGCAUUUGUGACAAAAUAGGACUCGGCAACUGCUGAGGUUGGUGUCUGUGAACUGCCUGCCUGGCUUGUUUGGUUACCCAGGAAGGCCCACGUCCGAAUGAUGGAUGGACCAGCCAGGCAAGAACCAAAGUGUCACUUCUCCUCAGCCUUCUUCUCUGAUGGCUUUGAUGGCAUCUCAUGCCCAGGGACUCCAACUGGCAUUCUUGUUUUGGUCCCAGGGAGGAUUAGCAGAGAACAAACAAAGUUCUCUCAUCUGUACAAAUGCCUCUGGGAAUCCUUCACCCAUUAAUGGAAGGGCAAUUUUCUGUAUGUGACUUCCCCAAUUUAAUUUCUUUAAUGGAAGUUUUUGGUGAAAUCCUAAGUGAAUCCCUCAGCAAACAGUGGGAAAAGUUGUGGGGAGAAGGGAUUUGCUAGGCCUUUCUUUUGUUCUGGGGUGUAUGGGGUGCUUAGGGAGGGGUAGUAUCUCUGGUAUGGAGGGCUUGUCGUGCCCUCCUAGGGCAGCUCUCCAGCGACUGACCCUCACCUGACACCCAGCUCUCACUUGUGGCUCCCAGUAGCUGCUAGCAUGCAGCAGUGGCCACACCCCGGGCAACAGCUUCGACAAGCCGGCUAAACCUUGUGAGGGUAGCCAUUGGGUCGUCGACCCCUGGUGAACCAUGUGAAGACUGCUUUGGCGGAACAGACGGAAGAAACCAACAAGAAGGUUCAACGGCUGAGAGGGCAACGCAGCAAAGCACUGUGGAGUGCUCAGGACGUGUUGGAGCACAAAAGACAACACAGCCAUCCAAUGCAGCUGAGGAAGUCUCCAGGUGUAACGUGCCACUGGACCCAGGCUUCCAACGCCCAGAGAGUGGGACUGUCACUGUGCAUUGACUUUUCCACUUAAAUCUUCAUGCACAAGUGUCUUUGUGCACAAAAACGCACAAAGACAAUUGUCAUCCUCGGUUAUCGAGAGACUACAACAACUUUUGUUCUGGAGCCCAGUUGCUUAACUCCUAAUUCUCUCAAUAAAGACUGCCUUCUGGACUGAGCAAAUUCCAGGUUUCUGAAGCUUAUUGAAUAGGACAGCAAGUCCCCAAGCUAAGUCUGCCCACAGCAUGAGAUGGAAGGUCAGAAGAUCUGAAGCUAUGUCUACCUGCCUGCUGUACACUCUGAUGCUCUACUCAGUCACUAUAGGGCAUAUGUGGGACUGUCACUGCCCAAUUUGUUUAGAACACAUCUAUGAGGCAUGCAUCCUGUGUUCACAGCUUUCUGUCCAUUUAUGGGGAAGAUGCAAAGUUUAGAGCAACCAAGAUCCCUGACCUCAGGAAGCUCCCACUCUGGCAGAUAGGGAACCACCAAAAAAGCACAGAUCAUGCUAGAAGGCCAGGAUACAUGCUUGAAUACUGCCAAGGAACCAUGGAAAGUCAGAUAGGGAAGGUGGCAGCCUCUACACUCUUUUCUAACAACUGACAAAAUUAUGACUAGUUUUUUUUAACAAAAAGAGUAGAAAAUGGGAGUAAAGAGAAGAGACAAUUAGAGAACUAGACAUUUCUUUCAAUUUUCACAGUUUUUCAAACUUCUCUAAAAUAGGAAUAUACACCAGGGAUAAAGAUAUUUCAGUUGUUUCCAUGGUUUAGGUCACCAACAAUCCAAAACAGGCAAAAAGUCAAUGAACUAACAACCAAGAUGGCCAAUAAUCCCAAAUUCCUGAUGAGUGCUUAUCUGGAAUCCCUUCCCUGAACCCUACCUCACAUUCCCAACAACAGCAUUAUACAAGUCAACUCAUGUGCUUUCAACAGAAAUCACGUCUCCAUUUCAAUUAUGUGUCCUUACCCACAGUGCAAACUCCAAAGAGCAGAAAUGUGUACAUUCCCAAGAGAGCAUGGAACCCCUGUGUACUGGUGCUGAAUGGUUCAAAGGAGAAAUGAGAAUUAUGAAAGCAGAACUUAUGAACUGCACAGAGGAAAUAAUUGCCAGAAUAGAAAAACAAAAAUAUUAUUCUCUUGUAGCAAGUCUCACCAAAAAAAAGAGAAAACAACUGAUUUUAAGUAAAAAUAUGUGGAAGUGAAGGACAACCAGGAAAAAGGAAAACAAAAAAAAAACAAAUUAAAAGAAAAUACCUUAAACAUAAUGAUCUCAAGGACUGUAUGUAAAGAGACAACAUACCAAUUAUAGAUCUCACAAAAGAACAGAAUUGAAAAACAAAAAAGCAAAUUUUGAAUACCAUAAUGCAAGAAAUAUUAUGAGAAAACUGCCCAGAAUUUUUGAAGACAGAAAAUAAAGGGCCAGUUGAAAGGAUAAACAAAUCAUCUCCAGAAAGAAACCCUAUACACUAAAGUCCAAGACACCUAAUGAUUAAAUUGAACAAUGCUGAAGAGCAACAUAUUUUGCAAAUGAGAAAGACUUUCAAAUAAAAGGAAUGGAAAUGUGAAUAAUAGAAGAUUACUCCACAUCCACCAGAAACCCAAGGAGAGAAUGGAAUAAUGUAUUCUGGAGAGCAAAAGAACUCAAGAUAUAGCCCAACAUGACUUAGCCCGCAAAGCUGAGCCUAACCAUAAAUGAAAAAAGUAAGUUCAAUAAUAAAGAAGCAUUUGAAACAUUCAUUGAAAGAAUAUAAAAUAUGAAGAAGUUAUUUGCUUCUCAAACAACCAAUAAAACAGACAUGUAAGAAUAUUAAACAAAGAGAUCAACUAAGGACAAUUUAACAAUAGAGACCAUUAAGAGAUUUCAUUCUAAAUCUUUGUGAGAAGACAGGGUAAAAGCCAAAGCCAAAGAGAAGGAAUGGUGCAGAAACAGAUCUAAAGCAUCACAGCUUAACCUUGAAAGAUUCCAUCUACAGGCAGCCUGCUUUUCUGAGGAGGCAGAGAAACAGAGGGAGCCUGCCAGAUGGUGCUUCUCAGGAGGAGAAGGGCUAUGACUUCGGCCGCCAAAGGCCACACAAAGAGUGCGCGGGGCCAGGAAGAGCGCCAUUUUCUAUGGUGAUUCAAAUUUCAUAUUUAAAUAUUUUUCUAACUGCAAGUGGUUCUUGUGUAUAAUGGGGAUCCUUGGCACAUCUGUGUCUUAUUUAGCUCCUUGGGACAUUG